GGAUGUGAGGGCGACCCGGCUGUGACAUCUGUCACCCCAUUGAUCGCCAGGGUUGAUUCCGCUGAUCUGACUGGCUAGGCGGGUGUCCCCUUCUUCCCUCACCGCUCCAUGUGCGUCCCUUCCGGGUGAAAGAGGACAGCCUUCCCCGAAAUAGAGACGGACCAGUCUUCCGUGGAGGGCAGCUGCACCCCUGCUACAACCUCCAAACAAGCUAUAAGGUCCAUUUGUAGGAGAACAUAGGGUAGUCAAACUUCCAAGAUUCCAGACACAUCCAAAUGAGGCGCUGCAUGUGGCCGUCUGCUUUUCUAA
rnacentral:snRNA from 1 species